rnacentral:rRNA from 1 species
GAUGAACGCUGGCGGCGUGCUUAACACAUGCAAGUCGAACGGUGAAAGAGAGCUUGCUCUCUGGAUCAGUGGCGAACGGGUGAGUAACACGUGAGCAAUCUGCCCCUGACUCUGGGAUAAGCGCUGGAAACGGCGUCUAAUACCGGAUACGAGCUGCGAAGGCAUCUUCGGCAGCUGGAAAGAACUUCGGUCAGGGAUGAGCUCGCGGCCUAUCAGCUAGUUGGUGAGGUAACGGCUCACCAAGGCGUCGACGGGUAGCCGGCCUGAGAGGGUGACCGGCCACACUGGGACUGAGACACGGCCCAGACUCCUACGGGAGGCAGCAGUGGGGAAUAUUGCACAAUGGGCGAAAGCCUGAUGCAGCAACGCCGCGUGAGGGACGACGGCCUUCGGGUUGUAAACCUCUUUUAGCAGGGAAGAAGCGAAAGUGACGGUACCUGCAGAAAAAGCGCCGGCUAACUACGUG